rnacentral:rRNA from 1 species
AUGCACGCUGGCGGCGUGCCUAAUCCAUGCCUGUCGAGCGCACAGACGAGGAGCUUGCUCCUCUGACGUUAGCGGCGGACGGGUGAGUAACACGUGGAUAACCUACCUAUAAGACUGGGAUAACUUCGGGAAACCGGAGCUAAUACCGGAUAAUAUAUUGAACCGCAUGGUUCAAUAGUGAAAGACGGUUUUGCUGUCACUUAUAGAUGGAUCCGCGCCGCAUUAGCUAGUUGGUAAGGUAACGGCUUACCAAGGCAACGAUGCGUAGCCGACCUGAGAGGGUGAUCGGCCACACUGGAACUGAGACACGGUCCAGACUCCUACGGGAGGCAGCAGUAGGGAAUCUUCCGCAAUGGGCGAAAGCCUGACGGAGCAACGCCGCGUGAGUGAUGAAGGUCUUCGGAUCGUAAAACUCUGUUAUUAGGGAAGAACAAAUGUGUAAGUAACUAUGCACGUCUUGACGGUACCUAAUCAGAAAGCCACGGCUAACUACGUG